rnacentral:rRNA from 1 species
GUCCACGCCUUAAACGAUGGAUGUUCGGUGUCGGUCCGCAAGGAUCGGUGCCUGAGCCAACGCGUUAAACAUCCCACCUGGGGAGUACGAUCGCAAGGUUGAAACUCAAAGGAAUUGACGGGGGCCCGCACAAGCAGUGGAGCAUGUGGUUCAAUUCGAUGCAACGCGAAGAACCUUACCUGGGUUUGAAAGGCUCUGUAAAACCGGUGAAAGCCGGCUAGUGUAGCAAUACACGCGGAGUACAGGUGCUGCAUGGCUGUCGU